AGCCCCGUAGUCUAGUGGCCAAGGAUGCGGGACUCUGGAUCCUGCGGCAUCGGUUCGAAUCCGGUCGGGGCUA
rnacentral:tRNA from 2 species